rnacentral:lncRNA from 10 species
CGCUACCGCAGCCGCCGCCGCCGCCGCCGCCCAGGUGACUGAGGAGAGAGGCACCUCCUCGCUCCCGCCGCCGCCGGACUUCAAUGCCCAGUCCCCAGCUCGCCAGCGUUUUUCGUUGGAAUAUACGUUGCACAUUUAUGGCGAUUCUGAAUGUGAGAGCAGAUUUCUGCCAGGCUGAGCACAGCGUUUUCGCUGACAAGUGAGCUUGGAGGUUCUAUGUGCCAUAAUUAACAUUGCCUUGAAGACUUCUGGACACCGAGACUGGCCUCAGAAAUAGUUGGCUA